rnacentral:rRNA from 1 species
UACGAAGGGAGCUAGCGUUGUUCGGAAUCACUGGGCGUAAAGCGCACGUAGGCGGAUGUGUCAGUCAGGGGUGAAAUCCCGGAGCUCAACUUCGGAACUGCCUUUGAUACAGCACGCCUUGAGUCCGAUAGAGGUGGGUGGAAUUCCUAGUGUAGAGGUGAAAUUCGUAGAUAUUAGGAAGAACACCGGUGGCGAAGGCGGCCCACUGGAUCGGUACUGACGCUGAGGUGCGAAAGCGUGGGGAGCAAACAGG